AAACUGGGAUUAGAUACCCCACUAUGCCCAGCCGUAAACUUUUAUUUACAUCCAAAUCGCCCGGGAACUACGAGCUAAGCUUAAAACCCAAAGGACUUGACGGUACCCCAUAUCCCCCUAGAGGAGCCUGUCCUAUAAUCGAUAAUCCACGUUUAACCUCACCACUUCUAGUUAAUCAGCCUGUAUACCUCCGUCGUCAGCUUACCACGUGAGCGUAAAUUAGUGAGCCCAAUGUUAUUUCACCAACACGUCAGGUCAAGGUGCAGCAAAUGAAGUGGGAAGAGAUGGGCUACACUUUCUAUUUUAGAAGAAACGAAAAACUACUUAUGAAACCUAGUUAGAAGGCGGAUUUAGCAGUAAAAAGAAAUCAGCAUGUUCAUUUUAACCCGGCACUGGGGUGUGUACACACCGCCCGUCACCCUCUGCAGUCAA
rnacentral:rRNA from 1 species